UGUGAGGUGCCUGCAACAGCAGCAGGAACUCAAACACGUCCAACCGCUUCCCCCUGCACCUUAGGGCUCUUCCACCCGCCGCCGGUCCCAAUAUGGCGUCAAUAACAACGCCGCUGAUUCAAAUCCUGCGGCCUUAGGGCGCGUGCGCAUAGGGGCGGGCCUACCGAGCAUGCAUUCUGGGAAUUGUGGUAUUUCCCUAUGGGUAGAUAGCUGUGUGAAAAGCAGUUAAGGAGGAGUCACAGAAACUAUGACUCCCAUCAUGCAAACUGCUCAAUUCCGAGUUCCGGGUUGAAAUUUAAAUCCCCCUUCCACAGCUAAAGACUACAAGGAACUGAGCAAAAGAGAAAAAAGAAAAAUGCUGUGAGACAGUGGGAGACAGGGAAGAGAACCGGUGGGGAGAGCAAGCUAAGCAACAGAGAGACCUGUAAGACUCAGAACAUAGUUGCUCCCACAAUGACUGCACCGGAAAUAGAAAAGAGCCAACCUAAUAGUACAAGAAAUUAAUUUUGGUAGCUGCUUGAAUACAUAUUAAAUUUUCCAAAGCCAUCUUUGCCUCUGUAAAUGAAUAGGAUUUGAACUAAGUACAGAACGAAGUUGUUUUGCUCUGGAUAAAAAGCGAGUGAUGCCAGAAAUUGCAUUAUCAGUUUAAUUUGGUGUACAUCUGGUGAACAUUAACACACCUAAAACAAAUCAAAAGUCAUGAGAAAAUCACUAGGAUAAUCCAACACCUCAAGAUCGGAAGUCUUGAUCACACUGUGUCAACAAGCUAUGCUAAUUUUAAUUUAGAAUAUUAUACUUUUUGAAAAAUUCUUCUGAAAAAGACCAGCAUUUAAUGAAACAAUAGUUUGAUUAUGACACCUACUAAGUAAACUUUUACCAAAUUCUAGGUACUCCAUAAAAUCCAUGAUACUAUGAAAUUAAUAGAAUACUCAAUUUUAUGUAAAUGAGUAGAAAAAUAUUCUUGGUAAAUAAUUUUUUGAAAUUAAGAAUUGUUCUUACAUUAUAGAGAAAGUGAGUGUUAUAAACUGAAUUGUGUUCCCUCAAAAUGCACAUGCUCGAGUCCCCAGUACCUCAGAAUGUGACUUUGUUUGAAAAUAGGGUCACUUUCUAAUUAAUUCUUUAAGAUGAAAUCAUACUGGAGUUGGGUGGGCCCCCUAGUCCAACAUGACUAAUAUCCUUCUGAAAAGUGAAAAUGUGGACAAAGGUAGAAGGUAGAGACAUGAAGGUAUAGGUUAAAAUGAUACCUUUACAAACCAAGGAAUAUCAAUGAUAGCCGGCAAGCCACUAGAAACUAGGAGAGAGACACUAAACAAAAUAGUCCUCGCAGUCCUCAGAAGGAACCAACCUGAGGACACUCCAUCUUAGAAUUCUAUUCUCCUAAUUCUGUGAGACAGUAAUUUUCUGUUGUUUAAUCUACCUGGUCUGUGGUACUUUGUUAUGGCAGCUGUAGAAAACUAAUACAGUGGGAUUGUGAUUAUCUUUUGAGAUUCUCUAGGCUGCCUAGAAAAUGAAAAAAAAGUUUGCAUUUAUUACGUGUGUGGGGAGAUAUGAUUAAACUGUUAAAUUUAUCAGAUAA